GCUUGUACGCAUUACUAUUUAGAAAAUAUUAUUCCCUUUUCAUAUACUUUUCUCUCUCCUCAUCAAAUCGUGUUACGGUAUCAGAGCGGGAGUAUUAGACUCCAAUCUCAUCUUUUCUAUUUAUUUCAGAGGGUAGAGUAUUCGAUUCCGAUCUCGUCUCCUCCGUUUCAGAGUGUGGAGUAUUCAACUCUGAUCUCGAUUACUUCAUCACAACGAUUAUUCUUUCUUCAUUCUAAUUCUUUCUUGAUUUCUUCCUCCUCUUAUUUUCAUCACAAGUGAUUCUAUUCCUAAUUCUCAGACUUCUUCUCUUUCUUCUUCAUCUACUAGAGCAUUUUCUUCUACUCUUCUCCAUGCUACUCAGAAUGUAGCAAAUCCACUUUAUCUGCACCCAAAUGACAAUUCGUCUAUUGUUUUAGUUUCAACAGUUCGGUCUGGCCCUAAUUACCAUUCAUGGGCCCGGGCAAUGUGGACGGCCCUCAUGUCUAAAAAUAAAGUCUGAUUCAUUAAUUCAAGUGCUUGCCCCUAUGGAUCCGGUCUUUCCUUCCUGGGAAAGAUAGAAUACGAUGGUAUUAUCUUGGAUCACUUGUUCUUUGUCACCAUCGAUUGCACAAAGUAUAUUGUGGAUUGAUCAUGCGUCUAAUGUCUAGGAAGCGGGACAACUUCUCCCAGAAUGGCAUAUUUCAUCUGGCUGAUUUACAAGAGGAAAUCCACAGUUUGGAAGCAGAGCGACAUGUUUAAAUCAAUUUGCCUCAUAAGGCUCCUCUCAUCAUGGAAGAUGACUGGUUCAGCUGAUGUCAUUAAAGGGCUAUAUAUCAUGAAGCACACUGCAGAUUCAACAUCCCAUCUCAUUAGUAAUAUCUCCACUGCUUCUGAAUCUAAUACACCAUUUGAUCUGUGGCAUUUCAUUUGGGCCAUUUGUCCAAGAAUACUUUACAUGGUUUGGCUCAACAGUUUCCCUGUAUUACUUAUGAUUCUUCAUUUUCAUGUUGUGAUGUAUGUUACUUUGCCAAGCAACAAAAGCUUCCUUUUCUGGUAA